ACCGUUCGGGCCUCGCGCUAUCAGAUGAGCCUGCGUAGGUAUUAGCUUGUUGGUGAAGGUAAAGGCUCACCAAGGCGACGAUCCUUAGCUGGUCUGAGAGGAUGAUCAGCCACACUGGAACUGAGACACGGUCCAGACUCCGUACGGGAGGCAGCAGUGGGGAAUAUUGCGCAAUGGAGGCAACUCUGACGCAGCCAUGCCGCGUGCAGGAAGAAGGCGCUACGCGUUGUAAACUGCUUUAACCGGGAAGAAACCCUCCGACGUGUCGGAGGUUGACGGUACCGGAGGAAUAAGCACCGGCUAACUUCGUG
rnacentral:rRNA from 1 species